AUGUAGCAAUUGUUUCAAGAGAUGAAAGGACAGUAGUUAUAAAGGAGAAGAGUCUUGAACAUAACACUAGAAGAAGUGACAUUUUAAGUAAGCAGGGGAUAAAAAGAAGCUCGGUGGUGGACAUAAAGAAUGAUGAGAAGUAGCCAAACAAAUCUGUGCGUUUGAAGGAUUCUGAACUUGGGAGUUGGGAAUGCAAAUGAUCUCGUCUCUGCAUAUUUCCUGAUUAAGCAAAGGAUUUGUCAUGCGAAACAGAUUUUGGACCAAGACAUUUGGAUUUUCAAGAGAGCUUGUAUCUCAGAAGUGUUACAGAAGAAUUCAGCAGGGAAAGCAUUGUUGAGAAGCAUCGAGAAAACGAAUAGCAACUAGAAGUGAAAGAACAUUGAGAGAUCAAAGAAACAGAAGUCUAGACAUUAUCUGCACAUUCUGAAAGUUCAAGAGGACCUGUUGGGUAGGUGGGCUUAUAAACAGACAUGUUUCACGGCUUAUUGAUAAACCCAAAAAUACAAAUAUUUUCAUCAUAUUUUUCUUUAUUUUCAAGUAAUGCGUGCAUUGUUUA